GGCAGCCAUUCGAAGGCUGGCAGCAGGGAGAAGGUGGAGCCCCAGCGUGCUGGGCCAGGAAGAAGUGCCCAGUUAUUUAUGCAUCUUCAGGGAGACUUACUGCUUCCUAAGCAGAGGGCAGCCAUGGUCAUCAACCUGUCAGUCCUGGACUCAGGAGGGCAUUGGAUAAGUCAAUGGAGGUCUAUCUGCACCUGGGUCUCUUACUUGCCGUGAAGAGCAGCUGCUGAGGGUCCAGAGACUGAGAGAAAGGCUCCCUGGUUCACCCAGGGCACUCCACCCCACCUUCCUACAUCACCUGUUUCAUACGCUAUGAAUGGCCAGUAAAAUCACA